GCUCAGAAUCAACGCUGGCGGCAUGCCUGACACAUGCAAGUCGAACGCGGUUUCCUCGCAAGGGGAAACUGAGUGGCGAACGGGUGAGUAACGCGUGGGUGACCUACCUCCGAGUGGGGGAUAACGUCCCGAAAGGGACGCUAAUACCGCAUGACAUCCUGCCCUUGAACGGGUGGAGAUCAAAGCUGGGGAUCGCAAGACCCGGCGCUUGAAGAGGGGCCCGCGUCCGAUUAGCUAGUUGGUGAGGUAACGGCUCACCAAGGCGACGAUCGGUAUCCGGCCUGAGAGGGCGGACGGACACACUGGGACUGAGACACGGCCCAGACUCCUACGGGAGGCAGCAGUGGGGAAUUGUUCACAAUGGGCGCAAGCCUGAUGACGCAAUGCCGCGUGGAGGAUGAAGGUCUUCGGAUUGUAAACUCCUGUUGCCAGGGACGAAUGGCUCCGACCUAACACGUCGGAGAAUGACGGUACCUGGUGAGGAAGCCCCGGCUAACUCUGUGCCAGCAGCCGCGGUAAUACAGAGGGGGCGAGCGUUGUUCGGAAUUACUGGGCGUAAAGGGCGCGUAGGCGGCCUCUUAAGUCGAACGUGAAAUCCCCGGGCUCAACCCGGGAACUGCGUCCGAUACUGGGGGGCUUGAAUCCGGGAGAGGGAUGUGGAAUUCCAGGUGUAGCGGUGAAAUGCGUAGAUAUCUGGAGGAACACCGGUGGCGAAGGCGGCAUCCUGGACCGGUAUUGACGCUGAGGCGCGAAAGCCAGGGGAGCAAACGGGAUUAGAUACCCCGGUAGUCCUGGCCCUAAACGAUGAAUGCUUGGUGUGGCGGGUAUCGAUCCCUGCCGUGCCGAAGCUAACGCAUUAAGCAUUCCGCCUGGGGAGUACGGUCGCAAG
rnacentral:rRNA from 1 species